rnacentral:rRNA from 1 species
AUUGAACGCUGGCGGCAGGCCUAACACAUGCAAGUCGAACGGUAACAGGAAGCAGCUUGCUGCUUUGCUGACGAGUGGCGGACGGGUGAGUAAUGUCUGGGAAACUGCCUGAUGGAGGGGGAUAACUACUGGAAACGGUAGCUAAUACCGCAUAACGUCGCAAGACCAAAGAGGGGGACCUUCGGGCCUCUUGCCAUCGGAUGUGCCCAGAUGGGAUUAGCUAGUAGGUGGGGUAACGGCUCACCUAGGCGACGAUCCCUAGCUGGUCUGAGAGGAUGACCAGCCACACUGGAACUGAGACACGGUCCAGACUCAUACGGGAGGCAGCAGUGGGGAAUAUUGCACAAUGGGCGCAAGCCUGAUGCAGCCAUGCCGCGUGUAUGAAGAAGGCCUUCGGGUUGUAAAGUACUUUCAGCGGGGAGGAAGGGAGUAAAGUUAAUACCUUUGCUCAUUGACGUUACCCGCAGAAGAAGCACCGGCUAACUCCGU